rnacentral:lncRNA from 1 species
AGCAACAUGGGGUACGCUGGCAAGGAAAUUGUCAUACCUACUUGGCUAAUGGCUCCCAGCACUCCUCUAUCUCUUUUGAAGCAGGGUGGUAUAAUAGUUUGGACAGACUUCCUGAAUUAGAAACCCAGCUUUAUUGCUUUCUGAUAUUCAGUUUGGGGCAAUUUAGGGUCUGUGUAACACACUACCCUGUCAGUGUUUUAUCCAAGGAAAAUUUAAUGUAAAUUGUUAGCUCAUCAAUGAUGUAAAUUUUAACUAUUAAAAGGGGUAAAAGAGGUUUCUACAGGAAGUAGCAGGUCAAAAAAACAGGCACUGCUUUUGGCUGAGGGAAAAUGGACCAUAAUGGAAGUAGGAGUGAAGCCCUGCUCUUACUUUAAGGUUGAGAUGCAGUUCUCUUGGAAGAACAUGUGGCUAUUCAUUCAUUUGUUGAAGGGCACCUAGGUUGGUUCCAUAGCUUAGCUAUUGUGAAUUGAGCUACUAUAGAUAUUGAUGUAACUGUGUCACUAUAGUAUGCUGAUUGUAAGUUCUUUGGAUAUACACCAAGCAGAGGGAUAACUGGGUCAAAUGGUGGUUCCAUUGCAAGUUUUCUGAAGAAUUUCCAUACUGUGUUCCAGAAUGCUUGCACCAAUUUACAGUCCCAACUGCAAUGAUAAAUAAAAUGUGGUAUAUAUACACAAUGGAAUAUUCCUCAGCCAUAAAGAAGAAUGAAAUUAUGGCAUUUGCUGGUAAGUGGAUGAAACUGGAGACCACUAGGCUAAGUGAAAUAAGCCAAUCCCCAAAAAACAAAAGUUGAAUGUUUUCUCUGAUAUGUGGAUACUAACACACAAUAAGGUGGGGGGAGAAAAUAGACAUUCAGUGGAUUAGACAAAGGGGAAUGAAGGGAAGGGAGAGGGAA